UCAACUUUUCUUAAUGUUUUAAACGGCUUGCUGUACAUUCAAAGAUUUCCUCAGUAUAAUGCAGCAGGAGUGAACUGGGAAGAAAAGCUUUAAUAGCAGCAAUUAUUUAUAGCUAUCCUGGUAAACUCAAAAUCAUUUAGAACUUAAAUGCAAAGACUAGUGGACUUCAAGCAAACUAUGUAAGUUUCUUUAAAAAAAUCAAUAAUCUUUUUUCA
rnacentral:lncRNA from 1 species